ACUUUGUUUUGCAUUGUAAACGCCUUUUAAAUGACUGCACCCGACGUUUGUUGUCAAAUAAUCCAGGACCUGAUGUCCUUCUGUCAUCAUUAAAUAGAAUUGAAACCAUGCAUAGGAGUCUGGAGUGGCAAGGGGGAGGCUUAUAAAUGCUCAGGCUGCAGAUGAAAUAAAUAGUUGUGUACGA